UAGGGAAUCUUCCGCAAUGGACGCAAGUCUGACGGAGCAACGCCGCGUGUGUGAAGAAGGAUUUCGGUUCGUAAAACUCUGUUGUUAGAGAAGAACAGCGCAUAGAGUAACUGUUAUGCGUGUGACGGUAUCUAACCAGAAAGCCACGGCUAACUACGUGCCAGCAGCCGCGGUAAUACGUAGGUGGCAAGCGUUGUCCGGAAUUAUUGGGCGUAAAGCGAGCGCAGGCGGUCAAUUAAGUCUGAUGUGAAAGCCCCCGGCUCAACCGGGGAGGGUCAUUGGAAACUGGUUGACUUGAGUGCAGAAGGGAAGAGUGGAAGUCCAUGUGUAGAGAUGAAAUGCGUAGAUAUAUGGAGGAACACCGGUGACGAAAGCGGCUCUCUGGUCUGUAACUGACGCUGAGGCUCGAAAGCGUGGGGAGCUAACAGA
rnacentral:rRNA from 1 species